GUACUUAGUAUACGCGAGUCAGCGGGUGAAAAACCUUGCGGCGAAAUGAAAGUAAAGGGUGGCCUCGAGUUAUCCGACAUGGGAUCUGUGCUUUUGUGCAGCGCACCAUGGCCCUAUGCGAAUUGCUUGCAAUUGUGUAGAGGUAGAGCAGUAUGCAAACGACCCGAAAGAUGGUGAACUAUGCCUGAGCAGGAUGAAGCCAGAGGAAACUCUGGUGGAAGUCCGUAUCGGUUCUGACGUGCAAAUCGAUCGAUAGACUUGGGUAUAGGGGCGAAAAUCGAACC
rnacentral:rRNA from 1 species